CCACGGGAGGCAGCAGUGGGGAAUAUUGGACAAUGGGCGAAAGCCUGAUCCAGCCAUGCCGCGUGUGUGAAGAAGGCCUUCGGGUUGUAAAGCACUUUCAGUGGGGAAGAAAGCCUUGGGGCUAAUACCCUCGAGGAAGGACAUCACCCACAGAAGAAGCACCGGCUAACUCCGUGCCAGCAGCCGCGGUAAUACGGAGGGUGCGAGCGUUAAUCGGAAUUACUGGGCGUAAAGCGCGCGUAGGCGGUCUGAUAAGCCGGUUGUGAAAGCCCCGGGCUCAACCUGGGAACGGCAUCCGGAACUGUCAGGCUAGAGUGCAGGAGAGGAAGGUAGAAUUCCCGGUGUAGCGGUGAAAUGCGUAGAGAUCGGGAGGAAUACCAGUGGCGAAGGCGGCCUUCUGGACUGACACUGACGCUGAGGUGCGAAAGCGUGGGUAGCAAACAGGAUUAGAUACCCCUGUAGUC
rnacentral:rRNA from 1 species